CGUAGGUGGCGAGCGUUGUCCGGAUUUACUGGGCGUAAAGGGAGCGUAGGCGGACUUUUAAGUGAGAUGUGAAAUACCCGGGCUUAACUUGGGUGCUGCAUUUCAAACUGGAAGUCUAGAGUUCAGGAGAGGAGAAUGGAAUUCCUAGUGUAGCGGUGAAAUGCGUAGAGAUUAGGAGGAACACCAGUAGCGAAGGCGGCUCUCUGGACUGUAACUGACGCUGAGGCACGAAAGCGUGGGGAGCAAACAGGAUUAGAUACCCUGGUAGU
rnacentral:rRNA from 1 species